rnacentral:misc_RNA from 1 species
GAUGAAGAACGUAGCGAAAUGCGAUAAGUAAUGUGAAUUGCAGAAUUCAGUGAAUCAUCGAAUCUUUGAACGCACAUUGCGCCCGCCAGUAUUCUGGCGGGCAUGCCUGUUCGAGCGUCAUUUCAACCAUCAAGCCCCCCGGCUUGUGUUGGGGACCUGCGGCUGCCGCAGGCCCUGAAAAGCAGUGGCGGGCUCGCUGUCACACCGAGCGUAGUAGAUCUCAUCUCGCUCAGGGCGUGCUGCGGGUUCCGGCCGUUAAACCACCCUCAUAACCCAAGGUUGACCUCGGAUCAGGUAGGAAGACCCGCUGAACUUAAGCAUAUCAAUAAGCGGAGGA